rnacentral:lncRNA from 1 species
UGGAGGUGCAGCCUCGCUCGGCCCUGGUGCAGCAUUAGCACUUUGUUGUCAAAGGUCUUCUGGUGGAUGCCAUCCUGUGAGAGGUCGAGUGGAAAGAGGGCACUUUGACUGGCUGUGGCCCCAGAACUGGCGUCCCUGAGGGUUGGGUCUGGCUCCUUUGCAGGCUGUGCCUGGAUACCCCAGUGUUUAAUUAAUUUCAUCAGAGGCUCCGCUACCUCACCGUCUUACAAAUAACCACAUUGCAUAAGAAUUCUGCCCACCUGGAUCCAAAAGCAUUCAACUCUGGCCUCUGUCUUAUGUCUCCUCUGAGGCCCCUUUCUGCCAGGUGCAAUCCUGUGAUCCUAAGAGGUAACGAAAUGACAGAAAUCGCCCCUGCCUUUCCUCGUGUGGCAGCACAGUUCCCCAGCUCCCACACACAGCUCUUGCAAUUAUGCAAACUUUUGGGAGCGGAAAAAAAUAGCGCUGUUUCUAUGUCAGUGUGUGGGCUACAGAUGAGCAGGAGGAGGCUCUGGAAACACAUGAGGAAAAGGAGGUGCAGAGAAGCGGACAAGACAGAGACAGCAGGAGCUGCUGACAACUUUCUGAAGUAGAAGCUAAAAGACAUCAGGUAACAGAAGGCUUAGAGAAGCCAACGUGAGCCAGAUCAACUGCAAAAGUGCGUCAGGCCAGGCAAGGUCCGUGGCGGGCACUCCUGCUCAGGCUGAGCUGCAGGCCGCUUGUGGAAAGGAUCAAUCGUUAAGACGCAGGUCUACUGGAAGUGUCUUCAAUGCUGCUUGUGCCUCCUCCCUGCCUCACUGGGGGGGGGGUGUUAUCAUCAGGUGUUAGAGCUACUGGUUCUUUUCGUUUUUCCAGAUAAAAUCGAGCAUCUUUAAAUGGAUUCUGUGUACUUCGCAAGGCAAAGACCUCCCCGCUGCCUGUGUGGCAUCACUAGCUACUGCAGGGAACUUGAACUCUUUACUUUAAUCAUUGCUUUUGUUAGCAAGAGAACAAGGUGAAACUGCAUUUCAUAACACCAACCUCUGUCUUCUUAGCAAUGACACAGCUUCAGAAAUGCUGGCUUGGUACACGGAAACCUCGUCCUCAGAAGAGUAUAAUUAUUUUGUUCCAAGGCAAUAAGAUGGGAGUACACAAUGCAUUAAAAAUUCUUUCAAAGUACCCUAUUUAGACAUUCAACUUUCUAAUACUCUCAGCACUGAAGUGUAGGCUCAAUAUUGUCUUGAGAUCAAGGAAAUUUUACAGGGAGCCAAAUUAUAGCUUUCUUUUUAGGACAACAAACACAUGAUUUAUGUAAGAAGAAAAGGGGACGUGGGCGAUCUUUCAUUUGAAGAUGAUUUUAAAUGAUAGCAUCUCAGUCUGUAGACCUAGUGCACUCUUAUUUGGGAACUACAGUAAACACGUACUAAACAGUGACAAUGUGUUCUGUACCACGACUGGUGCUUUUGCACAUGUGGAGUAAUUAUUCCCUCCCCUGUCCUGGGGGAAAGCUAGAAUUGACAUUCUCAUUUUGUACAUGAAAAACCCUGGUGCUUAAAGGAGUCAAAGGAUGCAGUGUUAACAAACUAGAGUGGAAAUGUAAACUCCAAGCCUAAUACUUUUUUCGUGACAUACAGUUAAGCCAUUUUUCAAAAUCCCUCUACCUGGGGAGAAUUUUCCAGCAAUCUCCUAUUGAAUAACUUCAAAGCACUAGAUUUCUUAUGUUUUUACUAGUUUCUCUUGCUGUAUGUGGUUCGACAGCUCAGAC